GUUCAUGUAUAAGAGUCGGCUGAAACGAUCGUUCGUGAUCGACACAUCAUGAGGAACCCCAGCUCAGGCAGGAUGUCCGCUGAAAGCUGUGACAGUGCUGUGUUCCUGCAGUGAAGUGAAGUCAGGAUAUGCCGGGACAGGAGAAAUGCUGUAAUGGCUCAGAAUCAGAUGCUUGAAUGACAACUGCUGCUUACCAUGAAGACGGCUCAUCAGUCAUCUACUGAAAGACAUUAAAGUGCGGUGUCAUCAUCUCCAGCUUUCAACCAUUACAUCAGUUGGCAAAGCCAGCGGAGAGUCUGAUUGUCCUAAUUUGUCCCACAUGGAUUAUCAUCCGUUCCCUCCUGGCUGCUGUGACGCUCUCCAAAAUGACAGAUGUGGAGAGCUCAGUCCCAGUUUGUUUCUCUCUCACACACACGCAAACACAACACAGUGGUUUUCCAUCACUUCUGAGGACACUGAGUUACCUAGUUUCAACUUGAACAGAAACACGACCCUACCCUGUUUGAAACCAGGUCUUUAUCCAAGAGUUUAAUGAUGCGUUUAUGUUCCCCUUUCCUUCAGAAUUGGCUUCAUCCAACAGUAUCAAUGUAACUGAGUCAUAUGAAAUUAAAUAACAAACGAGCAAGUGAAUAAAAGUUGCAGUAGGUUUGACAUCCA